AUUGAACGCUGGCGGCAUGCCUAACACAUGCAAGUCGAACGAGUGGCGGAGGGGUGAGUAAUGUCUGGGAAACUGCCUGAUGGAGGGGGAAAACUACUGGAAACGGUAGCUAAUCCCGCAUACCAGCGGAUGUGCCCAGAGGGGAUUAGCUAGUAGGUGGGGUAACGGCUCACCUAGGACACGAUCCCUAGCUGGUCUGAGAGGGUGAACAGCCACAUUGGAACUGAGACACGGUCCAGACUCCUACGGGAGGCAGCAGUGGGGAAUCUUGCACAAUGGGCGCAAGCCUGAUGCAGCAACGCCGCGUGAAUGAAGAAGGCCUUCGGGUCGUAAAGUACUUUUAGCAGGGAAGCGUUACCCUCACAGGAAGCAACGGCUAACUACGUGCCAGCAGCCGCGGUAAUUC
rnacentral:rRNA from 1 species